AUUGAACGCUGGCGGCAGGCCUAACACAUGCAAGUCGAGCGAGCGGCGGACGGGUGAGUAAUGUCUGGGAAACUGCCUGAUGGAGGGGGAUAACUACUGGAAACGGUAGCUAAUACCGCAUACCAUCAGAUGUGCCCAGAUGGGAUUAGCUAGUAGGUGGGGUAACGGCUCACCUAGGCGACGAUCCCUAGCUGGUCUGAGAGGAUGAUCAGCCACACUGGAACGGAGACACGGUCCAGACUCCGACGGGAGGCAGCAGUGGGGAAUAUUGAACAAUGGGCGCAAGCCUGAUGCAGCCAGGCCGCGUGUGUGAAGAAGGCCUUCGGGUUGUAAAGCACUUUCAGCGGGGAGGCGUUGCUCGCAGAAGAAGCACCGGCUAACUAAGUGCCAGCAGGCGCGGUAAUUC
rnacentral:rRNA from 1 species